AUUGAACGCUGGCGGCAGGCUUAACACAUGCAAGUCGAGCGGGGUGAUGGUGCUUGCACUAUCACUUAGCGGCGGACGGGUGAGUAAUGCUUAGGAAUCUGCCUAUUAGUGGGGGACAACAUCUCGAAAGGGAUGCUAAUACCGCAUACGUCCUACGGGAGAAAGCAGGGGAUCACUUGUGACCUUGCGCUAAUAGAUGAGCCUAAGUCGGAUUAGCUAGUUGGUGGGGUAAAGGCCUACCGAGGCGACGAUCUGUAGCGGGUCUGAGAGGAGGAUCCGCCACACUGGGACUGAGACACGGCCCAGACUCCUACGGGAGGCAGCAGUGGGGAAUAUUGGACAAUGGGGGGAACCCUGAUCCAGCCAUGCCGCGUGUGUGAAGAAGGCCUUAUGGUUGUAAAGCACUUUAAGCGAGGAGGAGGCUCUUUUGGUUAAUACCCAAGAUGAGUGGACGUUACUCGCAGAAUAAGCACCGGCUAACUCUGUGCCAGCCGCCGCAGUAA
rnacentral:rRNA from 1 species